AUAAGCUUCAUGGUCGAGAGGGAAAGAGCCCAGACCGACAGCUAAGGUUCCGAAGAAGCGGCUAAGUGUGAAAGGAAGUGGACCUCUUAAGACAGCCGGGAGGUUGGCUUAGAAGCAGCCAUCCUUGAAAGAGUGCGUAACAGCUCACCGGUAGAAGAGGACUGCGCCGAAAAUGUAACGGAGCUAAAGCCGCGCACCGAAGCUACGGUAUAGCCGAAAGGCUAUAGGUAGGGGAGCGAUGUGCGAGGGAGAA
rnacentral:rRNA from 1 species